AACGAACGCUGGCGGCAUGCCUAACACAUGCAAGUCGAACGAGACCUUCGGGUCUAGUGGCGCACGGGUGCGUAACGCGUGGGAAUCUGCCCUUGGGUUCGGAAUAACAGUUAGAAAUGACUGCUAAUACCGGAUGAUGUCUUCGGACCAAAGAUUUAUCGCCCAGGGAUGAGCCCGCGUAGGAUUAGCUUGUUGGUGGGGUAAAGGCCUACCAAGGCGACGAUCCUUAGCUGGUCUGAGAGGAUGAUCAGCCACACUGGGACUGAGACACGGCCCAGACUCCUACGGGAGGCAGCAGUGGGGAAUAUUGGACAAUGGGCGAAAGCCUGAUCCAGCAAUGCCGCGUGAGUGAUGAAGGCCUUAGGGUUGUAAAGCCCUUUUACCCGGGAUGAUAAUGACAGUACCGGGAGAAUAAGCCCCGGCUAACUCCGUG
rnacentral:rRNA from 1 species